AUGGCCGGCGGUGAAGAGCUGAAGCUGCUGGGGUGGUGGGCGCCCGGGGUGAGCCCCUACGUGCUCCGCGCACAGAUGGCGCUCGCCGUAAAGGGGCUGAGCUACGAAUACCUCCCCGAGGACCGCUGGUGCAAGAGCGACCUCCUCAUCGCGUCCAACCCCGUGUACAAGAAGGUGCCCGUCCUCAUCCACAACGGCAAGCCCAUCUGCGAGUCGCUGCUCAUCGUGGAGUACCUCGACGACGCCCUCGGCCUUCCCGGCAACGGCAAGCCCAUCCUCCCCGCAGACCCCUACAGCCGCGCCCUCGCUCGCUUCUGGGCCGCCUAUGCAAACGACAAGCUGUUUCCUUCGUGCGCCGGCAUCCUCAAGACAGUGAAGCAGGAGGAGAGAGCUGGUAAGGUGGAGGAGACCCUGUCCGGGCUCCGACACUUGGAAGCUAUCCUGGCGGAGUGCUCCAAAGGGGAGGUGGAGGCGCCGUUCUUCGGUGGUGACGCCAUCGGGUUCCUCGACAUCGCGCUCGGGUGCUAUCUUCCCUGGUUUGAGGCAGUAGGCCGCCUGGCCGGCUUGGGGCCGCUCGUCGACCCGGCGAGGACGCCGAAACUAGCGGCGUGGGCGGAGCGGUUCAGGGUCGCCGAGCCGGUCAAGGCGCUGCUACCUGGGGUGGACGAGCUGGAGGAGUACAUCACUAAGGUGCUUUAUCCAAAGUGGAACAUAGCGGUCACCAGUAACUAA
rnacentral:rRNA from 1 species